UGAAAGCUGUAAAACUAUUUGUUCUUGAUUUGCACUCAAGAGAUGCGGUCACGCUAGUUUUUAA
rnacentral:tRNA from 1 species